GCACAAGCAGUGGAGUAUGUGGUUUAAUUCGAAGCAACGCGAAGAACCUUACCAGGUCUUGACAUCCGAUGCAUAGCACAGAGAUGUGUGAAAUCCCUCGGGACAUCGAGACAGGUGGUGCAUGGUUGUCGUCAGCUCGUGUCGUGAGAUGUUGGGUUAAGUCCCGCAACGAGCGCAACCCUUAUUGCCAGUUACUACGUUAAGAGGACUCUGGCGAGACUGCCGUUGACAAAA
rnacentral:rRNA from 1 species